rnacentral:rRNA from 1 species
GUUAGGGCACGACACCGGAGAGGGAGCCUGAGAAACGGCUACCACAUCCAGGGAUGGCAGCAGGCGCGCAAAUUACCCAAUCCCGACACGGGGAGGUAGUGACAAUAAAUAACAAUACGGGGUUCUUUAGGAUCUCGUAAUUGGAAUGAGUACAAUUUAAAUCUCUUAACGAGGAACAAUUGGAGGGCAAGUCUGGUGCCAGCAGCCGCGGUAAUUCCAGCUCCAAUAGCGUAUAUUAAAGUUGUUGCAGUUAAAAAGCUCGUAGUUGAAUUUCGGGGUUAGUAGGUUGGUCAUGCCUCUGGUAUGUACUGGUCUCACUGAUUCCUCCUUCCUGAUGAACCUUAAUGCCGUUUAUUUGGUGUUUUGGGGAAUUUGGACUGUUACUUUGAAAAAAUUAGAGUGUUUAAAGCAAGCUAACGCUUGAAUACAUUAGCAUGGAAUAAUGAAAUAGGACGUUCGAUCCUAUUUUGUUGGUUUCUAGGGAUUGACGUAAUGAUUAAUAGGGAUAGUUGGGGGCAUUAUAUUCAAUUGUCAGAGGUGAAAUUCUUGGAUUUAUUGAANACUAACUACUGCG